rnacentral:tRNA from 1 species
GCCGGUGUGGCGGAAUUGGCAGACGCGCGCGACUCAAAAUCGCGUUCCCUUGCGGGAGUGGGGGUUCGAGUCCCUUCACCGGCACCA